AGAGUUUGAUCCUGGCUCAGGACGAACGCUGGCGGCGUGCUUAACACAUGCAAGUCGAACGGAAAGGCCCUUUCGGGGGUACUCGAGUGGCGAACGGGUGAGUAACACGUGGGUGAUCUGCCCUGCACUUUGGGAUAAGCCUGGGAAACUGGGUCUAAUACCGAAUAUACCUUGCUGGCUGCAUGACCUGGUGGGGGAAAGCUUUUGCGGUGUGGGAUGGGCCCGCGGCCUAUCAGCUUGUUGGUGGGGUGAUGGCCUACCAAGGCGACGACGGGUAGCCGGCCUGAGAGGGUGUCCGGCCACACUGGGACUGAGAUACGGCCCAGACUCCUACGGGAGGCAGCAGUGGGGAAUAUUGCACAAUGGGCGCAAGCCUGAUGCAGCGACGCCGCGUGAGGGAUGACGGCCUUCGGGUUGUAAACCUCUUUCAGUAUCGACGAAGCGCAAGUGACGGUAGGUACAGAAGAAGCACCGGCCAACUACGUGCCAGCAGCCGCGGCAAUACGUAGGGUGCGAGCGUUGUCCGGAAUUACUGGGCGUAAAGAGCUCGUAGGUGGUUUGUCGCGUUGUUCGUGAAAACUCACAGCUCAACUGUGGGCGUGCGGGCGAUACGGGCAGACUGGAGUACUGCAGGGGAGACUGGAAUUCCUGGUGUAGCGGUGGAAUGCGCGAUAUCAGGAGGAACACCGGUGGCGAAGGCGGGUCUCUGGGCAGUAACUGACGCUGAGGAGCGAAAGCGUGGGGAGCGAACAGGAUUAGAUACCCUAGUAGUCC
rnacentral:rRNA from 1 species